rnacentral:rRNA from 1 species
AGAACGAACGCUGGCGGCAUGCCUAACACAUGCAAGUCGAACGAGACCUUCGGGUCUAGUGGCGCACGGGUGCGUAACGCGUGGGAAUCUGCCCUUGGGUUCGGGAUAACAGUUGGAAACGACUGCUAAUACCGGAUGAUGACUUCGGUCCAAAGAUUUAUCGCCCAGGGAUGAGCCCGCGUAGGAUUAGCUUGUUGGUGAGGUAAGAGCUCACCAAGGCGACGAUCCUUAGCUGGUCUGAGAGGAUGAUCAGCCACACUGGGACUGAGACACGGCCCAGACUCCUACGGGAGGCAGCAGUGGGGAAUAUUGGACAAUGGGCGAAAGCCUGAUCCAGCAAUGCCGCGUGAGUGAUGAAGGCCUUAGGUUGUAAAGCUCUUUUACCCGGGAUGAUAAUGACAGUACCGGAGAAUAAGCCCGGCUAACUCCGUGCCAGCAGCUGC